UUUCACUUUGGGACUCGCACAGGAUGUUUGCAGCUCUUGAUAUACAGGAGUGUUAAGGGUCUUCAUAAACAGAAACCGCAAGGAACCUGGGAUCUGACAGCUGUUGGAGGAAUGCCUGUGAGGAAGGAGGAGGAACAGAAGAAUGCUUUGAUGUCUUAAAUGGUACAUCCAAACUUAAGUGAAAUAGAGCUGUGAGGACAUUUUGGGGAGAAGUGACCUAGAUAAGCACUGACUGUUGCAUUCAUCUCUCUUCUUGCUGAUUGUGAUGAUUUCCUGUGCCAUAGCCAUUCAAAGUCUGCCAAAAAAGGCCUUGCCUCCUGGAUGGCAUUUUUGAACCCACCCUGGGCCAGAGGGGAGCCCACUUCUUUGAAGACAGAAACACAGGACUGGCAACAUUUACCAUAAGCUGACUGAGCAGCCAUUGGGCCUUGAGUGAACAUUGGUGGUAGCCAGGCAGUACUUGUCUCAGUACUUGCCUCAGGCCUGGGGUGUCGGUGACCACAGGGAGAGCAUCCAUCUGCUUGAGGAAAGGAGAACAAAGAAAAUAAAGGGCUUAAUCUUGCACUUGAUUGCCAGCUCAGCCAUAGUAGAAUACAGCACCAAGUAAAUUCCUAAGGAUCCUGAUUCCAGGUCCUGGCUCCCAGAUGACAUUUUAGGACUUGUCUUGGGCUUAGGGGGAGCUCGUCAUACUGAAGGGAAAAACACAAGCCUGGCUGGAUUUGCCACCAGCUGAAUAAAGAGUGCUUGGGCCUUGAGUGAACAUUGGCAAUAGCCAAGGAGUGGUCACCAUGGACCUUAGGCAAGAAACCCGGUGCCGUGCUGGCUUUGGAUCUGACCCAGCAUAAUCUCACUGCUAGCAUGUAAUUUUCUUUCUCUACUUCUCUACAUUUGGAGGAUGGAAAUGUAGAUGUUCUUCCAUUGUGCCAGCCUCCUCAUUCUUCUUUCUCCAAUGCCGCAUCUUCCUGCAAACUUCCUGCCACAACUCAAACAACAGGAAAAUAAAUGAUCUGAAAUCCUCCUGAACUGCAGCCUACCUAUCGUGGUCUCUAUGGGUGCAAACUUCCUUCCAGAAGCUUGUUCAGCUGGCUAAAACAGGACAUUUGCCAAUGCAGCCAAAAGUUGGGUCUUAUACUGGCUACCUCCUAUGCAGAGUGAAAAACUUUUCUUUCUCCCACAGCCACAGACAUCGCUCCUCUUCCAGCUCAACAUCUUUCAAAGGGAUGGCUCUCAGUCCCGAAAUGAAAAGAAAAGGUGGCUUGGUGCAAAUCAUUCUCUUUAUCAGCAAAAGAAAUACCAAAGCCUGUGUCCUUCUGACAUAGUGAGCUGUCGAGGUAGUCCAGGGAAAAGAUGACAGUGAAUUGAGUUAUGGGAUGGCAAUGGAGACUGAAAAGAAUCUGUGUUUAUUAUAUGUAUAUAUAUCAUUAAGGUAGAACUAGUGGAUUUUCUCUGGCACUGCACAUGGGAAGCAAGUGAAGGAGAGUGAUCUAGAAUGACGCCACCAUUUUUGCCUGAGAAAUUCAGUACUCAGAGGUGUCUGUCAUUCAGAGAGAUGGAGGAAACAAGAAGAGGAGCAAGUUGGGGGAGAGGGUAAGCAGAAUCAAAAACUGUGUUGAUACAUUAACUUUAGGAUGCAUAGUAGACAUCAGAGUACAGAUGGAGUUUAGGAGCAAAGUUAUAUAGAGAGAUAAAUUUGAGAACCUGUAAUUCUUUUAUUUGUGGCAGAUAAUUAGACAAAUGAUUUCUAAAUAUUCCCAUGACUACUACAGAACAU
ensembl:lncRNA LYPLAL1-DT LYPLAL1 divergent transcript